rnacentral:rRNA from 1 species
AGAGUUUGAUUAUGGCUCAGGAUGAACGCUGGCGGCGUGCCUAACACAUGCAAGUCGAGCGAUUUACUCCGGUAAAGAGCGGCGGACGGGUGAGUAACGCGUGGGUAACCUGCCUCAUACACAUGGAUAACAUACCGAAAGGUAUGCUAAUACAGGAUAAUAUAAGAGAUUCACAUGGAUUUCUUAUCAAAGCUCCGGCGGUAUGAGAUGGACCCGCGUCUGAUUAGCUAGUUGGUAAGGUAAUGGCUUACCAAGGCGACGAUCAGUAGCCGACCUGAGAGGGUGAUCGGCCACAUUGGAACUGAGACACGGUCCAAACUCCUACGGGAGGCAGCAGUGGGGAAUAUUGCACAAUGGGCGAAAGCCUGAUGCAGCAACGCCGCGUGAGUGAUGAAGGCCUUCGGGUCGUAAAACUCUGUCCUCAAGGAAGAUAAUGACGGUACUUGAGGAGGAAGCCCCGGCUAACUACGUGCCAGCCGCCGC